UACGGAGGGUGCAAACGUUGCUCGGAAUCAUUGGGCGUAAAGCGCACGUAGGCGGUUUGUUAAGUCGGAUGUGAAAGCCCUCGGCUUAACCGAGGAAGUGCAUACGAAACUGACGAACUUGAGUACGGGAGAGGGUCGCGGAAUUCCCGGUGUAGAGGUGAAAUUCGUAGAUAUCGGGAGGAACACCAGUGGCGAAGGCGGCGGCCUGGACCGAUACUGACGCUGAGGUGCGAAAGCGUGGGGAGCAAACAGG
rnacentral:rRNA from 1 species